rnacentral:rRNA from 1 species
AGCGAACGUUUGCGGCGGGCUUAACACAUGCAAGUCGAACGGGCUGUUCCUUCGGGGGCAGUCAGUGGCGCACGGGUGCGUAACACGUAGGUAAUCAACCCUCUGGUUGGGGAUAACACUUCGAAAGGAGUGCUAAUACCCGGUAUGGCGCAGCGGUCUUCGGAUCGCGGCGAGAAAGACCCGCAAGGGUUGCCAGAGGACGAGCCUGCGGCCCAUCAGCUAGUUGGCGAGGUAACGGCUCACCAGGGCGAAGACGGGUAGCUGGUCUGAGAGGAUGAUCAGCCACACUGGAACUGAGACACGGUCCAGACUCCUACGGGAGGCAGCAGUGGGGAAUAUUGCGCAAUGGGCGAAAGCCUGACGCAGCCACGCCGCGUGAGCGAUGAAGGCCUCGGUC